rnacentral:lncRNA from 1 species
AGACGGAGCCUCUGUCUGUCACCAGGCAGGAGUGCAGUGGUGAGAUCUCGGCUCACUGCAAUCUCCGCCUCUUGGGUUCAAGCGAUUCUUCUGCCUCAGCCUCCCGAGUAGCUGGGACUACAGACACGUGCCACCAUGCCCAGCUAAUUUUUGUAUUUUUAGUGGAGAGAAGGUUUCACCGUGUUGGCCAGGAUGGUCUCGAUCUCUUGACCUCGUGAUACGUCUGCCUUGGCCUCCCAAAGUGGUGAGAUUACAGGCGUGAGCCACGGUGCCCGGCCAAUCUGUUGAAUGUUUAAGGGCAGUACAUAGACAAUGGUUUAUAUUGUCAGUGUUCCUAUUGUGGGGUAAGAUGGUGUGCUCGUGGUCAUUUAUUGUGCCACAUUUAAAAUACAGACAAAUUAGGCCGGGCACUGUGGCUCACACCUGUAAUCUCAGCAUUUUGGGAGGCUGAGGCAUGCGGAUCACCCGAGGUCAGGUUGCCCCGGCUGGAGUGCAGUGGUGCGAUCUCGGCUCACUGCAACCUCCGCCUCCUGGGUUCAAGCGGUUCUCCUGCCUCAGCCUCCUGAGUAGCUGGGAUUACAGGCACACACUGCCACGCCUGGCUAAUUUUUUGUAUUUUAGUAGAGACAGGGUUUCACCGUCUUGAACUCUUGAGCUCAGACAAUCUGUCCGCCUGGGCCUCCCAAAGUGUUGGAAUUACAGGGGUGGACCACCGCGCCUGUAAUUUUGGGUUCACAGCAAAAUUGAGCAGAAGGUACAGAGAUUAUUUCCCAUAUGCCCUUUGUCCUUCUGCAUGUAUAGCCUCCCCUGUUAUCAACAUCCACCCCAUUAGAGUAGUGCUUUUGUUAUAAUCUACAUUGGCAUAUCAUAAUCACCCAAAGUCCAUAGUUUACAAUAGGGUGCACUCUUGGUGUUGUACAUUAUGUGGUUUUGGACAAAUUUAUAAUGACAUAUAUCCACCAUUAUAGUAUCAUACAAAAUACCACAAUGCUCUGAACAUCCUCUGGGUUCUGCCUAGUCAUCCCUCCCUCCCCUACCAACCCGUGGCAACCACUGAUCUUUUAUUGUCUCUGUAGUUUUGCCUUUUCCAGAAUGUCAUACAGUUGAAAUCAUACAAUACGUGGCCUUUUCAGAUUGGCUUCUUUCACAAGUACUCUGCAUUUAAGGUUCUUCCAUGUUAAGCAUAGCUUGAUCGCUCUUUUUUUUAGUGCUGAAUAAUAUUCCAUUUUCUAGGUUUACCACAGUUGAUUUAUCCAUUCACCUACUGAAGGAUAUCUUGGUUUCUUCCAAGUUUUGGCAAUUAUGAAAAAAGCUGGUAUAAACGUGUGUGUGCAGGUUUUUGUGUGGAUAUAAUUUUUCAACUAUGGGUAAAUACCAAGGUGCAUGAUUGCUGGAUUGUAUGGUAAAACUAUGUUUAGUUGUAGAAGAAACUGCCAAACUGUCUUCCAAUGUGAUUGUGUUGAUUUUGUAUUCCUACCAGCAAUGAAUGAGAGUUCUUGUGACUCCACGUUUUUGCCAUCAUUUGGUGUUGUUAGUGUUCUGCAUUUUGGUCAUUCUAAUAGGUGUGCGGUGGUAUCUCGUUGUUUUAAUUUGCAUUUUCCCAAUAAUAUAUGAUGUGGAGCACGUUUUCAUGUGAUUAUUUGCCACCCUUAUAUCUUUGUUGGUGAGGUGUCUGUUAAGGUCUUUGGCCCAUUUUAAAAUCUGAUCACUUUCUUAUUGUUGAGUGUUUUUGUUUGUUUGCUUGUUUUUGAGACAGAGUCUCACUCCGUCACCAGGCUGAUCUUGGCUCACUGCAACCGCCAUUUCCCGGGUUCAAGCGAUUCUCCUCCCUCAGCCUCCCAAGUAGCUGAAACUACAAGUGCUCGUCACCAUGCCCAGCUAAUUUUUGUAUUUUUAGUAGAGACGGGGUUUCACCAUGUUGGCCAGGAUGGUCUUGAUCUCUUGACCUCGUGAUCUGCCCACCUUGGCCUCCCAAAGGGCUGGGAGCCACCAUGCCCAGCCUAUUGUUGAGUUUUAAGAGUAUUUUGUGUAUUUUGUAUAAUAGUGCUUUAUCCAAUAUGUCUUUUGCAAAUAUCUUCUCCUAAUUUGUUGCUUGUCUUUUCAUUUUCUUGACAGUUUCUUUAUGGAGCAGAAAUUUUGAAAGUUCAAAGAUCAGUUGAUUAUAUUUAUGUGAGUCUAUUUCUGGGCUUUCUACUCUGUUCCAUUGAUCUAUUUGUCUGUUCUUUUGCCAAUACCACACUGUCUAUUACUGUAGCUUUGUAGUAAGUUUUGAAUAUGGGUAUUGCCAGUCCUCCAACUUUGUUCUUCUCUUCAAUGUUGUGUUGGCAAUUCUGGGUCUUUUGCCUCUCCAUGUAAACUUUAGGACAGUUUUGUCAAUAUCCACAAAAUAACUUCCUGGGGUUUUUAUUGGGAUUGCAUUGAAUCAAGCUGGGAAGAACUGACAUCUUGACAAUAUUGGACUUUCCUAUCCAUAAUCUCCAUAACUUCUUCCACAAUGGCUGUACUAAAUUACAUUCCUACCAACAAUGUAGAAGAGUUCCCUUUUCUCUGCAUCCUUGCCAUCAUUUGUUACCUUUCAUUUUUUUGAUGAAAGCCAUUCUAAAAGAUAAGAGAUGAUAUCUCAUUGUGAUUUUAAUUUGUGUUUCCCUAGUGAUUAGAGUGACUGAUAAUUUUUUUAUAUAUCUGUUGGCCAUUAGUAUGUCUUCUUUGGGAAAAUAUCUGUCCAAAUCAUGUGUCUAUUUUUAAAUUGGGUUUUCUUGCUAUUGAAUUGUUUGUGUUCCUUAUAUAUUUUGCAUAUUAACCCCUAUGAGAUGUAUGGUUUGCAGAUUUGUUUUCCUGACCUGGAAGUUGUCUCUUCAUUUUGUUAAUUGUUCCUUUGCUGGGCAUAAGGUUUUUAAUUUGAUGACAUUCUACUUGUCUAUUUUUACUUUUGUUGUCUGUGUUUUUGGGGUCUUAUUAAAAAAAUCAUUGUCUAUGCCAAUGUUGUGGAGCUUUUCCUCUAGUAGUUUUAUAGUUUCAGAUUUUAUGUUGAAGUUUUUAAUCCAUUUUGAGUUGAUUUUUGUAUAUUGGGUGAGAUAAAGAUCUAAUUUCAUUCUGCAUGUUGAUAACCAGUUUUCCCAAAACCAUUUAUUGAAGAUACUGUCUUUUUCCCAUUGUGUUCUCUCGGCACCUUUGUCCAAAAUCAAUUGAUUGUAAAUGUGUGAGUUUAUUUAUGAACUUUUAAUUCUGCUCCAUUGGCUGAUGUAUCUGUUUUUAUGCCAGUAUUAUGCUGUUUUGAUUAUAAUCACUUUAUAAUAUAUUUUGAAGUCAGGGAUGUAAUGCCUCCAGCUUUGUUCUUUUUGUUUAAGAUUUUUUGUAUGUGGCUAUUCAGUGUCUUUUGUGGUUCUAUAUGGAUUUAAGGAUUUCCCCCCCUAUUUCUAUGCAAAAUGACAUUGGAAUUUUAAUAGGAAUUGAAUUGAACCUGUAAAUGGGUUUAGGUAGCAUAGACACUUUAACAAUUUUAGUUCUUUCAACCCAUGAACACAGGGUAUAUUUCCAUUUAUUUGUGUUUUCUUCAAUUUCUUUCACUAGUGUUUUAUAGUUUUCAGCAUACAGGUCUUUCACCAUCUAGGUUAAAUUUAGACAAUAUUUUUG